rnacentral:rRNA from 1 species
GAUGAACGCUGGCGGCGUGCCUAAUACAUGCAAGUCGAGCGAACGGACGAGAAGCUUGCUUUUCUGAUGUUAGCGGCGGACGGGUGAGUAACACGUGGAUAACCUACCUAUAAGACUGGGAUAACUUCGGGAAACCGGAUCUAAUACCGGAUCAUAUUUUGAACCGCAUGGUUCAAAAGUGAUAGACGGUCUUGCUGUCACUUAUAGCUGGUUCCGCGCUGCAUUAGCUAGUUGGUAAGGUAACGGCUUACCAAGGCAACGAUGCAUAGCCGACCUGAGAGGGUGAUCGGCCACACUGGAACUGAGACACGGUCCAGACUCCUACGGGAGGCAGCAGUAGGGAAUCUUCGGCAAUGGGCGAAAGCCUGACGCAGCCACGCCGCGUGAGUGAUGAAGGUCUUCGGAUCGUAAAACUCUGUUAUUGGGGAAGAACAUAUGUGUGAGUAAAUGUGCACAUCUUGACGGUACCUAAUGAGAAAGCCACGGCUAACUACGUG